rnacentral:rRNA from 1 species
AUUGAACGCUGGCGGUAUGCUUAACACAUGCAAGUCGAACGAUGAGAAAGAGCUUGCUCUUUCGAUUAGUGGCGGACGGGUGCGUAACGCGUAGGAAUCUACCUAUUAGUGGGGGACAACUUAGGGAAACUUAAGCUAAUACCGCAUACGCCCUACGGGGGAAAGAAGGGGAUCGCAAGACCUUUUGCUAAUAGAUGAGCCUGCGUAGGAUUAGCUAGUUGGUGAGGUAAAAGCUCACCAAGGCGACGAUCCUUAACUGGUUUGAGAGAAUGAUCAGUCACACUGGAACUGAGACACGGUACAGACUCCUACGGGAGGCAGCAGUGGGGAAUAUUGGACAAUGGGAGAAAGCCUGAUCCAGCAAUACCGCGUGUGUGAAGAAGGCCUUAGGGUUGUAAAGCACUUUCAAUUGGAAGGAAAACCUCGAAGCUAAUACCUUCGAGUUUGACAUUACCUUUAGAAGAAGCACCGGCUAACUCCGUGCCAGCAGCCGCCGUAA